AUGCCUUAAACUUAUGAGUAAGGAAAAUAAUAUUUCAGGGUGACACCUAAAUCCUUACUGCUAAUGUGAGAUGAAUUUUUGAGUGGGUAAAGUUUGCCCCUAAGGUGACCUGCCUACUUUGCAGGAUGCCUGGGAGUCCUGAUCAGCCCA
rnacentral:snRNA from 1 species